UACAGAGGUGCCGAGCGUUAGGCGGAAUCACUGGGCUUAAAGCGUGUGUAGGCGGACUUCUAAGUACCUUGUGAAAUCCCACGGCUCACCCGUGGAACUGCUGGGUAUACUGGUUGUCUUGAGCCGGCUAGGGGCGAGCGGAACAGACGGUGGAGCGGUGAAAUGCGUAGAUAUCGUCUGGAACGCCGAAGGUGAAAACAGCUCGCUGGGGCCGCGCUGACGCUGAGACACGAAAGCCAGGGGAGCGAACGGG
rnacentral:rRNA from 1 species